AUAAUGUGAGUAUUUGUUUAUUGGCAAUAGUCGAUUACUCUGGCUUUAUAUUUAUUAAAUAAAAUGUUUCUCCACUUUUGUUCGGUACUGUAUGUUACAAUUCCCUUAUUUUCCAUUUAUUGGGCUCUAUUGUUUAAUACUGCUAUUGCACUCAAGGCUAAAGUUAAUCAAGAUAGGCCUCUUUGCUGGCAUCCACUGGACUGUCUUUCAAAAACUCACAAUACACAUCAAAGAAGAAGAAAGAGAAAGAAAUAUCCGAUGAGGCGAAAAAAGGAUACACAACCCAGGAGGUUGCCUAAUUACACACUCUUCAGACAGUUUCUUGCUAAACUGUCUGAAGAGUGUGUGAGAUUUAUCGUGUCAUAAUUUACGUCGCUUUAUUUAAUUGUUAUUUUGGACACAUUGGGAAAGCAACAUAAAAUGUGAAAUCAAUACAAAGUAAUUUAUUUUAAAUAUUCAGUUUAGUUAUUGUGCAAGAAAUUGUUAAAAACAUAUAAAAAUUUUACGACCCUUUAUAUCAAAUUUGAAAAUAAUGGAAAACCCCGAUAAUUAACUAUAGCUACGAACGUACAUUUGUCCACAUAUAAAAUACGAAAGUAAGCAUUGUUUCCCAUAGAAAAAUGUACUCUUUGAUGACUCCUUUUGUGUGGGGAGCAGUCACGACUGCUUGCUCCCUAAUAAUCCCGUUAUUUUCCAUAUAUUGGGCUCUGCUGUUCAAUAACGCUAUUGGUGUCAAUCAAGUGGCAGCUCAAGAUGAACCCAUUGGAUGGGAUCCAUGGGGUUUACCUUCAACGCGAAUAAGAAAAGGCAAGAGAAGAAAGGGAAGAACCUAUAAAGAGCCGCCCAGGUUUUCUGUUAUUUAGAUAAGUGCAAUAAAGUAUCAAGCAUUUAGGGUUUUUAUUAUUUUAUUUAAAAAUGUAUUUUUGCUUUUUAUUUAUAACUUGUUUCUUUAUGUACAUAUAUAUGUAAUUAUUAUUUUUUUA